AACACCUUCAGCCACUGGAAGCAGGAAGAGGCAAGGAAGAGAUUCUUCCCAAGAACCUCUGGAGGGAGGGUUGCCCCUCCUGGAACCUUGAUUCUGGCUCAGUGAAACUAAUUUUGGAUUUCUGGCCCUGAGAACUAUUAGGAAAUACAUGUGUAUUGUUUUAAGCCACCAAAUUUGUGGCAAUUUGUUACAGCAGCCACAGGAAACCAGUAUAAUUGUCUGAGCAAGGACUCUUAAGUACUGUCCCAACUUUCUUCUUGCGCCCCCUCUCCCCAUUCAGCUCACUCCUUAAGUGUUGACUGGACUUCCACUGUGUGAAAUGCUGGGCACAUAAACACACAUACAAACAUGCUUACUUCUAUGUUUACUUCCAAAGUGUACUGAGAAUGUGGUGAUGCCAAAGGAGGCAUACGUUCUGCUUGGGGGCUGAGAAGCUGUGGGAGGGGGUUCAGGAAAAAAUCCCAGGGGAAUGGUUUUACUGCCAGGCAUGAGUCCUGCCUUUCUGCUGUACCUACUCUUCUACAGGUUCAGCCCAGGUUUCUGUCCUUGACUUACCCUUGCUCCAUGGCCCCAUCCUGCUCUCUCUCCUACCACCACACCUGGCAUUUGAUGCAUGCUUUUCCCCUAGGCUGUCCACGCAUAGCCUGGCUCCUUGGGAACCUCAUUCUUACUGACGUGCCUCAGUUGUCAUCCCUCUCCUUUCUGUUUGACAGGUUUGUAUUUCUGCCCCAAAUUCAAGUGGUACCUGACCAGACUUAUCUGGACCUCAAGAAGGGACUUUGGCUUUGGCUUCCUACUGAGGUAGUCUGGUCUCUUACAGAAAACAGCUGUAGGCAAUUAGCUCCCAUAGAUCUUACCUUCUAUCUACUUAAAACACUAAAUAUUUUCUGACCUAAAGUAAUCAGUAUGUCUUCAGAAAAGAUUGUGAGGUUUGUCAUGCCUUUAAGAGAGUAAGCCUUUUUCUAUAUCUUAUCCUAUACAGUAUCUAGCACAAUGUGUUGUACACAGUAACCCUUUGAAAACAGUUUUGUACUCACUCAAAAAACAUUUCUUUAUGGAGGAUCAAAGUUCAUGAUCAAAUGAACUGAACUACUUGUUCUUGGCAGGGAACAGCUCCCUCAGAGGCCCAACCAGGAUGAGGCAGAGCCUUUCAAGAGAGAUAAAGGAAAACAGGUAAGAUAAACAUGCACUGGGAAUAAAGAUUGAAAACAUUAUCUUAGAAGCAAAAUCACUGGGUGUAUUUAUUUCAAAGAAAAAGAGAAAUGCGGUGAUAACUGGUGGAUGAGAUGAUUUAUGAUCUAUGUCUGAAAAGAAUUUACCUCCCUCGCUCUCAGGUUAGGGCGAGGAGUCAACCUCAUGUUUCUAGGGUCUGAAAUUCUGAACUUCUGACAUCUAGGUUACGGGCAACUACUUACAGCAUCUAUGCCUGCAAAACAAAAGGAGUGCAAGCUCAGCAAAGAGCCUGAGCCCUCAUGGUCAUGUGGAACCAACCUGUACCCUGAAUGGGACACUUCAUUCCCAGAACCUUUCUUUUCCCAAAAGGGCACACAUAGAGUUCAGAAAGAACAAUAAAAAUAGCAAUCAGAAAAGCGGAGGGGGAGAGAAAAGGGUUUAUAUUUACCUGAUACGAAAGAAAGAGCCCCAAAUAUGUUUAAUAAGAUGAGAAUUUUAUGUCCACCACGUUUUAGAAAUGGCAUGCCAAAUCCCAAGCUCCUGUGUUCUAGUUCUGUAUUCUGAGGGGAAGGAUGGGAGGUAGAGAGAGGAAAGCAACUGCUCUUGGAAGCUUGUUCUUGUGUUUGUUGAGGGCAUCAUGAUAACCCUGGUCUUGUCAGCUUGUGGCUCUCAUACUGCACCUAUGAACUUCAUGUAAGAGUUGCCAUUUGGGGGGAAAAAUGAGCAAAGGAGCAUAAACUCCAGGUCAGAAAAUGGUCUACAUUCUUUGCUUUGCUCUCUAUGGUCUUUCUUUCCUCAGCAGAUGAGAGUGAUUUUCUACCAGAUUCUCAGACCAAAACCCUGUCAUUCAUGACAUUUCUUACAGUCCAUGAGCAACUUCUGUUGGCUCUGUCUUAAAAAUAUGUCUAGAGGUAAUCACCAAUUCCCCCACUGUUACUCAGGGCCAGGCAGCCUUGAUCUCUUGCCUGGGUUAUAACUUAAUCUCCUUUGAUGGUCUCCUCGCCCCUUUACAGUCUAUUCUUAAGACAAUAGCCAGAGGGUUUCCUGUAAAAAGAUAAAUCAUAUCCUGUCACUCUUCUGCUUGAAACUCUUCAAUGGUUUCCAUUUAGCUCAGUAUAAAAAAUGAUUGUUCUUCUAUGGGGGGUGGGGUGGGGCUACAAGGUCCUCCAUCCUCUGGGCCCACCCUAUCACUUAGUUCUACUUGAUUCCCUGCUGUUCCUUGAACUCACUAAGUAUGUUGCUGAUAAAGCCUUUGCUGUUUUUUGUUUGUUUGUUUUGUCUAUAACAUUCUGCCUUCAGAAGUUAUUUUGCUUACUCUGCAUGUCAGAGCCCUGUGGAUUCAAAUAUCAACUUACCAAUGAAGUAUUUCUUGGCAGCCCUUUUUAAAAUGUUAACUCCGCCUCCCUAGAGUCCCCAUCCCCUUUUCACUGCUUUAUUUCCAGAGCACUUAUCAGCAUCUAGCAUAGUACUUUUUUUUCUUUUUAUUGUUUCUUUUCCCAUUAAAUAUAAGCUCCUUUAGAACUACUUGUUUGUUUUGUCUCUUGUCAUAUCCUCAGCACUUGAGAAUGCCUGGCAUGUUUUCAGCACCCAACUAAAUAAUGCCCAUGGAAAUGAUUGAGUAAGAGACCUGUAAAACUAAAUUCUAGUGCAAGAAAUUUACAUAAGGGAUAAGAGAGACAGUUUUCUCUUAAUUAAAUGUGUUCAAUAAAUAGAAACAUCCUAAGAAAUAUCAAGGAAUCUGUAUAAGUCUUUAAAAGGAGGAAUGGUUGUCUUUAAAGCUUUGUGAGUUACAGUUGAGAAAUGACUCCAACAUAAAGUUUUAAGUUCAGAAAUUUUAGCAGAAGAUAUUAUGUGCCCAAUUUUUGCAACUCAUAUCCAGAAAAACACUGAAAUCCUCCAUGGUGAUGCCUGUUCCUCUUAACUAGUAGUAACCUUCAUGAGACCAGCAGCAGACUUUUGUAAAAUGUGUUCAUGGCUGCAUUCACCUCCCCCUUCACCUUUAUCACAUAUCCUGAUAUUUCUCCUUUCCUCUUUGCGGUGGUAUUUCAGAGCUGUCUGAAAUGCCACCACCAAGACUAUUUUUUUUUGUCUUUUCUAGGGCCGCACCCUUGGCAUAUGGAGGUACCCAGGCUAGGGAUCUAAUCAGAGCUAUAGCCCCUGGCCUACACCAGAGCCACAGCAACUCAGGAGCCGACAAGGCUAUAUUUUUUAAAACAAAAAGAUGUCAUAGUCAUCCAGAGUGCAGCGACUCUCAAGGGUGAGCCAAUGAUCCCUGAGGAAACUCAGGAAGGUAACAAAGAAUACUGGCCUGGAUAGCUGAGGUGCAUAUCGAAGGAUUGAUUCUAGUAAGCCCAGACCUUUGCAUCUUCCUGUAGAAACCACUGAAUUCCUUAACUUGAGAUAUCUGGUUUUCUGUAAUCUUUUGUUCCUACCACCUGCCCUUUUUUGAAAAAACUCCUAUAUACCCCAGUUCCCCCCAUCAGUUCCUUAGAGCAGCUUUCUCAAGGCUACCUGAGAUGCUGUCUCCCGGACUUAAGUCCUGAUUUUGUCCCAAGUAAAACUUAACUC
rnacentral:lncRNA from 1 species